rnacentral:rRNA from 1 species
GGCGGUAAUACGUAGGUGGCAAAUGUUGUCCGGAAUCAUUGGGCGUAAAGGGUCCGUAGGUGGCUUGAAAAGUCUUAUGUGAAAAUCUCUUGGCUCAAACCAAGAAAAGCCAUAAGAAACUUUCAUGCUAGAGAUCAUCAGAGGGAGGUAGAAUUUCAGGUGUAGUGGUGAAAUGCGUAGAUAUCUGAAGGAAUACCAAUGGCGAAAGCAGCCUCCUGGGGUGAAUCUGACAUUGAGGGACGAAAGCGUGGGUAGCAAACCGGAUUAGAUACCCGGGUAGUCCAUGCCGUAAACGAUGAAUACUGGGUCUUCGGGGAUUCGACCCCCUGUGGACCGAAGCUAACGCGUUAAGUAUUCCGCCUGGGGAGUACGGUCGCAAGACUAAAACUCAAAGGAAUUGACGGGGGCCCGCACAAGCAGCGGAGCGUGUGGUUUAAUUCGAUGGUAAACGAAGAACCUUACCUAGGUUUGACAUAUAAGUGGUACUGACCCGAAAGGUGAUGGACCCGCAAGGGAGCUUAUACAGGUGCUGCAUGGUU